rnacentral:rRNA from 1 species
UACGGAGGGGGCUAGCGUUGUUCGGAAUUACUGGGCGUAAAGCGCACGUAGGCGGUUUUGUAAGUUAGAGGUGAAAGCCUGGGGCUCAACUCCAGAAUUGCCUUUAAGACUGCAUCACUUGAACACGGGAGAGGUGAGUGGAAUUCCGAGUGUAGAGGUGAAAUUCGUAGAUAUUCGGAAGAACACCAGUGGCGAAGGCGGCUCACUGGACCGUUGUUGACGCUGAAGUGCGAAAGCGUGGGGAGCAAACAGG